rnacentral:rRNA from 1 species
UGGGGAAUAUUGCGCAAUGGGGGAAACCCUGACGCAGCGACGCCGUGUGAGGGAAGAAGGCUUUCGGGUCGUAAACCUCUGUCAGAAAGGAAGAACCUCCCAAGUCCGAAUAGGGCUUGGGACUGACGGUACUUUCAAAGGAAGCACCGGCUAACUCCGUGCCAGCAGCCGCGGUAAUACGGAGGGUGCAAGCGUUAAUCGGAAUCACUGGGCGUAAAGCGCGCGUAGGCCGCUUUGUAAGUCGGACGUGAAAGCCCUCGGCUCAAACGGGGGACUGCGGUCGAUACUGCGAGGCUUGAGUUCUGGAGAGGGUGGCGGAAUUCCGGGUGUAGGAGUGAAAUACGUAGAUAUCCGGAGGAACACCGGUGGCGGAGGCGGCCACCUGGACAGGUACUGACGCUGAGGCGCGAAAGCGUGGGGAGCAAACAG